rnacentral:rRNA from 1 species
UACGUAGGGUCCGAGCGUUGUCCGGAAUUACUGGGCGUAAAGAGCUCGUAGGUGGUUUGUCGCGUUGUUCGUGAAAACUCACAGCUCAACUGUGGGCGUGCGGGCGAUACGGGCAGACUUGGGUACUGCAGGGGAGACUGGAAUUCCUGGUGUAGCGGUGGAAUGCGCAGAUAUCAGGAGGAACACCGGUGGCGAAGGCGGGUCUCUGGGCAGUAACUGACGCUGAGGAGCGAAAGCGUGGGGAGCGAACAGG